CGGCACAAAGAUCGCAGCGGAAAAUAAAAUUGUAUUUUCGAAAAACAAAAAUCCAUAUCACAUAUGAACCAAAAUAAAACAAAUUAUUCCAGUGCCGGUGGAUCAUUCUCAUGUUGCAAUGUAAAAUAAAAUCUAACCUAAACAGAUUUAAAGUUCAGGUUACAUUACCUCGGACCAGUUAAGGUCUCUUGAUCUACUGUACGGUUGAAAUUGAGAUUCCGAUUAGCCGCGCACGUGCCCGACCUCUACGUGUAUCCACACGGAAUUAAUCCAGAUCCAAUGCCUUCCGUCGCACGGAACUGAUGAGCCGCAGAUUACCAAGACGAUACUAGCAGUCUUGCAAUAUCCACGUUCCCUUUUGUGAGAUGUACUGAUUUUUCAAAAGAUCUAAUAGAGACGGAUAAUUAUAU
rnacentral:lncRNA from 1 species